AUUAUAAAUACUAUUACAGAUAAUAUAGUAUAAUAGUUAAACCGAUCACUUAUUUCGAACGAAUUAACUCCGGGUCAGACGGACAGCAGAUCAUUUUGUGGCUUCAUUCAGGAUUCAAGAUGUUUAGAGUCCAGUAAAAACAGCAGUUCAGACCAGACAAAAAAAAUAAAUAUUAUAAAACCUAUAGAUUAAAACUACGGGUGCAGGAUAAAUCAGUUAAAUCCAAAGCUGAAAGCCUGAGUUGAGAAAGUUCUCUGUGGCUUGUUGCUACAGAUGCAGUGGGAGUGAUGGAGAAGUUUGUUGUUGUCCAUGAGCAGUAGACCACAACACUGAUUGUGCUGAUGCGCAACUAAGAUACUGAGCUACUGUGACCAAGCAAUUUCCCCAAACACGUCACGUGACGUUGCGUGGCGCGUCUUUUUUCUCUCUCUCAAGUCACUUCAGAGGAGCAGCGUACCUUUCCUUCAUUCUGCACGAUUUGGAUUUGGGUCUUUGGCACAUACGCACGCACAGCCGGGAGUCAGACCAUCUGAACAAUGGUGAUCCAAAUCAAAGUUAACGGACCUAGAGGGGAGGAAAAGAUCAUCGACCUGUGUGAAAAUGAUCGGCAGAUGAAGAACAUCACCGUCCAGGAACUGAAAAGAAAAAUAAGUCAAAUACUCAGGAUAGAAAAUGAUGUCCGUUUGGUGUACAGGACGGAGGUCUUGGAGGACUCGUCCCUGCUGCUACAUUACGGAAUCAAACACAUGUCCACCAUCCACACACUGCUGGUGCUGCCCGGAGGACACUGACGUGGCCAAGACCCGGGAAGAAAACCACAUGGACUCUAAACUGCUCUAUAUGUUAUGUACAUAGACGAAUCCUGUAAUCAUGACCAUUGCUGUGAUCCUGUGAAACACACGUGUCUGUGCAUGUUUGCUUUAGUUCCUUAACUUGUUUGUUCUUAUAGAAUCACCCAUGUCAAGCUGUGAAAGCUGUCAUUCAGACAGCCUAUGUUAUUUAAUUAAAUGCAACUAUCGUUGUGAUUUUUGAAGUAA